AAGGGCACCACAAGAACGCGUGGAGCAUGUGGCUUAAUUUGACUCAACGCGGGAAAUCUUACCGGGUCCGGACACACUGAGGAUUGACAGGUAUUAUUGUAUAUCACCACUCUUACAUGUUGUGGUAUACAUGUUAAAUAUGCUAGUCCUUUCAUGAUUAUGUGAUAGGUGGUGCAUGGCCGUUCUUAGUUCGUGGAGUGAUCUGUCUGCUUAAUUGCGUUUCACUAAGGGCCUAUAAAUUUACGUAUGUUGCGGCACUUUGACCCCUCUUAAUUGAGCGCGUGUCUUUGUUUGCUUAGCUCAUACAAUUAGGUCCUGAAAGCAACGAACGUGACCGCAACCUCUUGUUACCUUUAUACCAAACACGUUGCAGUAAUAAUUUUAUUACCUUGCUUCGUGCAAAAAGGCCUUUUAAACUAGAGGGACCGCUGUUACUUUCUUAAACCAGAGGAAGGUUGCGGCAAUAACAGGUCUGUGAUGCCCUUAGAUGUUCCGGGCUGCACACGUGCUACAAUGAUUAUUGCAGUGAGCAUCUCAUUUUUACACACCGCAUGCGCGAGUCUAUUUAUUCACCAUUUUGUGUGCUUUAAAUAUGUAUCUCUGCGCGCGGUAAAGCCUGCUUCGAAAGUAAGUGGGUAAUCAAUUAGAAGUAAUGAUUUCCUUAUAUAGCACACAUAUAUACGGCAUCUUUACCCGGCCUGCCUUGUUGCAGGUUCUUGUGUGUAUUGAUGUUUUUUCCGUAUGUGCGAUUGUCAAUUCAUGGUGGGGACAGACCAUUGUUAAUUGUUGGUCUCGGUCUUAACUAGGAAUGCCUUGUACGGGUCUUUGGUUCAACAAACCACCCGGAAUACGUCCCUGCCCUUUGUACACACCGCCCGUCGCUCUUACCGAUGGACUUCUCUGUGAGUUUGAGGGACUGGGAACGCAUAUCUCUAUAUGCACACCUAUGGAAACUUAAACGAACAGUGUGGUCUAAAGGAAAGAGAAG
rnacentral:rRNA from 1 species